GAAUUUUGCGCAAUGGCCGCAAGGCUGACGCAGCAACGCCGCGUGGGUGAUGAAGGCCUUCGGGUCGUAAAGCCCUGUCAGGUGGGAAGAAAGGCCUUAAGGAGAAACGCUUGAGGUUUGACGGUACCACCAGAGGAAGCACCGGCUAACUCCGUGCCAGCAGCCGCGGUAAUACGGAGGGUGCGAGCGUUAUUCGGAAUUACUGGGCGUAAGGCGCGUGUAGGCGGGGGGACAAGUCUGAUGUGAAAGCCCUGGGCUUAACCUGGGAAGUGCAUUGGAAACUGUUUUUCUUGAGUACUGGAGAGGAAGGGGGAAUUCCCGGUGUAGAGGUGAAAUUCGUAGAGAUCGGGAGGAAUACCAGUGGCGUAGGCGCCCUUCUGGACGGUAACUGACGCUGAGACGCGAAAG
rnacentral:rRNA from 1 species